AAUAGAUACCCGGGUAGUCCAUGCCGUAAACGUUGGGCGCUAGAUGUGGGGACCAUUCCACGGUUUCCGUGUCGCAGCUAACGCAUUAAGCGCCCCGCCUGGGGAGUACGGCCGCAAGGCUAAAACUCAAAGGAAUUGACGGGGGCCCGCACAAGCGGCGGAGCAUGCGGAUUAAUUCGAUGCAACGCGAAGAACCUUACCAAGGCUUGACAUAUACGAGAACGCUCUAGAAAUAGAGAACUCUUUGGACACUCGUAUACAGGUGGUGCAUGGUUGUCGUCAGCUCGUGUCGUGAGAUGUUGGGUUAAGUCCCGCAACGAGCGCAACCCUCGUUCUAUGUUGCCAGCGGUUCGGCCGGGAACUCAUAGGAGACUGCCGGGGUCAACUCGGAGGAAGGUGGGGAUGACGUCAAAUCAUCAUGCCCCUUAUGUCUUGGGCUUCACGCAUGCUACAAUGGCCGGUACAAAGGGCUGCAAUCCGUAAGGUGGAGCGAAUCCCAAAAAAGCCGGUCUCAGUUCGGAUUGAGGU
rnacentral:rRNA from 1 species